rnacentral:tRNA from 1 species
UCCUUUAAGAGCGUGCAUCCUAGUUAGGCGUCCACACUUAUCGGUUUGUUUGAUGUUACAGCCAAGGGUCUGUAGCUCAGGUGGUUAGAGCACCGUCUUGAUAAGGCGGGGGUCGUAGGUUCGAGUCCUACCAGACCCACCAAGUUACGGGCGGCGGAGAGCGAUCUUGCCGUGAACUGGGGGAUUAGCUCAGCUGGGAGAGCACCUGCUUUGCAAGCAGGGGGUCGUCGGUUCGAUCCCGUCAUCCUCCACCAACACCUUGUGGUAGCCAAACGCAAGCAUCGAGAGAUCGGUGUUUGCGUUUGGCAUUGCCAAGACGAGUAGUAACUCGGCUGUUCUUUAACAAUAUGGAAUGUAGUAAAGGUGUCGCGGCGCGUUGAUGAGGCGCGCAAUUUAAACGCGACACUGGGUUGUGAUUGUAUCAACCAGUAUUACGAGUGAUCGAAAGACCGCUUGGAAUACGGCACAACGCGAGAACUCAGC